rnacentral:rRNA from 1 species
GUGAGGAAUAUUGCGCAAUGGAGGCAACUCUGACGCAGCCAUGCCGCGUGCAGGAAGAAGGCGCUACGCGUUGUAAACUGCUUUUAACCGGGAAGAAACCCCAGGACGUGUCCUGGGUUGACGGUACCGGAGGAAUAAGCACCGGCUAACUUCGUGCCAGCAGCCGCGGUAAUACGAAGGGUGCAAGCGUUAUCUGGCUUCAUUGGGUUUAAAGGGUGCGUAGGCGGAGCGUUAAGUCAGUGGUGAAAUCCUGCAGCUUAGCUGUAGACUUGCCAUUGAUACUGGCGCUCUUGAGUGCGCUUGAAGUGGGCGGAAUGUGCCGUGUAGCGGUGAAAUGCUUAGAUAUGGCACAGAACACCAAUUGCGAAGGCAGCUCACUAAGGCGAUACUGACGCUGAGGCACGAAAGCGUGGGGAUCGAACAGGAUUAGAUACCCCUGUAGUCC